AAAAAAGUAACAUUUAAUUUGAAAUCAAUUUUAAAAUUGGGUGACAAUUUUGUAGUUAUAAUAAAAUUAAAAAUUUAUUUAUAAAUUAUAUAUCAAUCUUAUAAAAUAUAAAAAUAUUUUCUCGUGCAUUGCACGGGGUGCAAAAUUAUAGUAUAUAUAUAAUAUAUUGUUUGAUUCUUACAAAAGCAUUAAUUUCAUACAAAAGCACGGAGUAGUACUUUUUAGGGGCAAAUAUUUACGUAUUAAUCCUUUAUCAAUAAGUGAAAAAAAAAAAAAAAAACUUAAUCACGUUUGUAUACAGAAUAUCCAAACUAAUUGAGCCCAAACUAUAUAUAUAUAUAUAUAGAACUAAAAAAAAAACAACUCAAAACCUACUAUAAGUCAAAAGCUAAUGGGAAUUGCCGUCAAAAUGCAUUCCUCAAAAAAACUAAAUAGAAAAAUCGUUCCUCUUUUUACACCCAAAAAAUCAGAAUCAAUUUGUCUUCCUUCUGCCUCUCCAUUGUUCCUCUUUUUCUCUAUUUCACAUUUGCCUCGACGCCGUUCGUCUCUCUCCGCAUCCACGCGGCCGCCUAUCCUCUCUCUGCCUCUGCGCGCUUUCUCAACAUGGGCUCGCGCUCAGCACACCGUUCGCCGCCUCGCCGCCUCCAUGCCCAUCGAUUCUCUUCAUUGAAAGUUCCUCCCGGUUCAAAAGUGGGGAUAUCAAAGAAAUAGGAGGAAUAAUGAAGCAGGAUGAUGAGUUAAGCAGAGGUACUAUACUAUUUAUCAUCAGUGGUGUGUCCCAACACUUUAUCAUGUCUCCUUGUAGCUAUAAAAAAAUAAAGCAUGUUUGUUGA